GGCAGCAGGUGGUACAGUUGACAAAUGAUGUUACAGGUGGCAGUAGAUGGUACAGUUGACAAAUGAUGUUACAGGUGGCAGUAGAUGGUACAGUUGACAAAUGAUGGAUACAGA